UACGGGGGGGCAAGCGUUGUUCGGAAUUACUGGCGUAAAGGGCGCGUAGGCGGUUCGCUAAGUCGGAUGUGAAAACUCUGGGCUCAACCCAGAGCCUGCAUCCGAAACUGGCGGGCUAGAGUUCUGGAGGGGUAGCGGAAUCUGGUGUAGCGGUGAAAUGCGUAGAUAUCUGGAGGAACACCGGUGGCGAAGGCGGCAUCCUGGACCAACACUGACGCUGAGGAGCGAAAGCCAGGGGAGCAAACGGG
rnacentral:rRNA from 1 species